rnacentral:lncRNA from 1 species
UAAAAAUAGGAAGUUAAGAAUAACAAGAAAUCCAAAUAAGGAAACCAUGACAUGGGAAAUGAUAGAAUCUGAAGACAAGCUUCACAUACUUCAAAACUGGUUCUGGAUGAAGUCCAAUUUGUGUGUUUCGGCAGGCAGUAAGGAAGAUGUUUCUUGUGUCUGAUCAAUAACACAGAAGCAACUGAAGAAACAAUAUGUGGAUGCUUCAAAGAUGAGUGAAAACAUUUCUUCCAAUACCC